AGAGUUUGAUCCUGGCUCAGAACGAACGCUGGCGGCGUGGAUUAGGCAUGCAAGUCGAACGAUAUCUGGCGUUAUAGCAAUAUAGCGUCAGUGACAGUGGCGGAAGGGUGAGUAACGCGUGGGUAAUCUACCUUCAAGUUGGGGAUAACCUGCCGAAAGGCGGAUUAAUACCGAAUGUGGUCUCCUCGCGCAUGCGAGGAUGUCUAAAGGCGGGGACCGCAAGGCCUGUUGCUUGGAGAUGAGCCCACGUCCUAUCAGCUUGUUGGUGAGGUAACGGCUCACCAAGGCUUACGGGUAGCUGGUCUGAGAGGAUGGUCAGCCACACUGGGACUGAGACACUGCCCAGACUCCUACGGGAGGCUGCAGUCGAGAAUCUUUCGCAAUGCGCGAAAGCGUGACGGAGCGACGCCGCGUGCAGGACGAAGGUCUUCGGAUUGUAAACUGCUGUCGUGAGGGAGCAAUGAGCGGGGCGUUAAUACCGCCUCGAAGUGAUAGUACCUCAGGAGGAAGCCACGGCUAACUCUGUGCCAGCAGCCGCGGUAAUACAGAGGCGGCGAGCGUUGUUCGGAUUUACUGGGCGUAAAGGGUGCGUAGGCGGUUAUGUGUGUCGAACGUGAAAUCUCACAGCUUAACUGUGGAAUGGCGUUCGAAACUACAUUUCUUGAGUUCAGGAGAGGAGAGCGGAAUUCUCGGUGUAGCGGUGAAAUGCGUAGAUAUCGAGAGGAACACCGGUGGCGAAGGCGGCUCUCUGGACUGAUACUGACGCUGAGGCACGAAAGCUAGGGGAGCAAACAGGAUUAGAUACCCUGGUAGUCCUAGCCUUAAACGGUGUACACUUGGUGUGGGGGGAAUUGUCCCCCUCCGUGCCGGAGCUAACGUGUUAAGUGUACCGCCUGGGGAGUACGGUCGCAAGAUUAAAACUCAAAGGAAUUGACGGGGGCCCGCACAAGCGGUGGAGCAUGUGGCUUAAUUCGAUGCAACGCGAAGAACCUUACCUGGGCUUGACAUGCGGAGUUUAGUCCCUGAAAGGGGAUGGCCGCAAGGCGAUCCGCACAGGUGCUGCAUGGCUGUCGUCAGCUCGUGCCGUGAGGUGUUAGGUUAAGUCCUGCAACGAGCGCAACCCCUGUGUCUAGUUGCUAAUUUUAAUGUAAAUUGGAAUGCACUCUAGUCAGACUGCCUGUGAAAAGCAGGAGGAAGGUGGGGAUGACGUCAAGUCAGUAUGGUCCUUAUGCCCAGGGCUGCACACGUGCUACAAUGAACGGCACAGUAGGACGCUAAACCGCGAGGUGGAGCAAAUCCGCAAAAACCGUUCGCAGUUCAGAUUGAAGGCUGCAACUCGCCUUCAUGAAGCCGGAAUCGCUAGUAAUGGCGCAUCAGCUACGGCGCCGUGAAUACGUUCCCGGGCCUUGUACACACCGCCCGUCACAUCAUGGGAGCCGAUUGCACCCGAAGUCGCCGCACCAAUCCGAAAGGAAGGAAGGCGCCUAAGGUGCGAUUGGUGACUGGGAUGAAGUCGGAACAAGGUA
rnacentral:rRNA from 1 species